UGAAAAUUAAUUUUUUUCCCUUCUCUGAUUGCUUUAUUUUCUAUUUUUUCUUUGUUUCUUUUCAGGGUGCUUGUUUAUACAAUUUUCUUUGUUUGUUUGCUCAGUUUGUUUGUAGCAGUUUUUCGAUAUUUUUUUGUCUGUUUCUUUUUGGGGUGCUUGUUAAUUCAAUUUUUUUUCCUUGGUUUUUUUUUCAAUCUUUUUCACUUUCCUUUCCCUUUGUUCUUUAAAACACUACCACAAGAAGUAAAUUAACUAGUCGGAUAGCAUAAUUCUUCAACUUAUAUAUAAUUUAUAUAUUUUUGAUAUUAAACAUUAACUAACUUGAUGAAAACUGGAUGUGUCUAUUUCUAGCUCAGCCUAGCAUAUUUCCUGUCGCUUUUUAGUAUUCCGUGCUUGACACAGUACGAUUUCCUUUAAACAUGUUUUUAAUUUUAUCACGUGUUAGUGAUCAGUUGCCAUGACCCAGUUGUUACAGAUCGAUUUCACAAGUUCAGAAAACAGAAACAAAUAAUUCUGUACAGAACAAAAU
rnacentral:lncRNA from 1 species